rnacentral:rRNA from 1 species
AUUCAAGUCGCACGAGAAAGCUUCUGCUUGCAGAGGCGAGUAAAGUGGCGCACGGGUGAGUAACACGUGGGUAAUCUACCUCCGAAUUGGGGAUAACAUUGCGAAAGCGAUGCUAAUACCGGAUAAUAUUACAGAUUCUUCGGAAUUUGUGAUCAAAGGUGGCCUCUUCAUGAAAGCUAUUGUUUGGAGAUGAGCCCGCGUCCCAUUAGCUAGUUGGCAGGGUAAUGGCCUACCAAGGCAACGAUGGGUAGCUGGUCUGAGAGGAUGAUCAGCCACACUGGAACUGGUACACGGUCCAGACUCCUACGGGAGGCAGCAGUGAGGAAUUUUGCGCAAUGGGGGAAACCCUGACGCAGCAACGCCGCGUGAGUGAUGAAGGCCUUCGGGUCGUAAAGCUCUGUCAAGUGGGAAGAAGUCAUGUAUGGCUAAUAUCCAUGCAUGUUGACGGUACCACUGAAGGAAGCACCGGCUAACUCCGUGCCAGCAGCCGCUGUAAUACGGGGGGUGCAAGCGUUACUCGGAAUCAUUGGGCGUAAAGGGCGCGUAGGCGGCCUGGUAAGUCAGAUGUGAAAGCCCGGGGCUCAACCCCGGAAGUGCAUUUGAUACUGCCAGGCUUGAGUAUGGGAGAGGGAAGUGGAAUUCCUGGUGUAGAGGUGAAAUUCGUAGAUAUCAGGAGGAACACCGGUGGCGAAGGCGACUUCCUGGACCAAUACUGACGCUGAGGCGCGAAGGCGUGGGGAGCAAACAGGAUUAGAUACCCUGGUAGUCCACGCAGUAAACGUUGUUCACUAGGUGUAGC